GACGAACGCUGGCGGCGUGCUUAACACAUGCAAGUCGAACGGAAAGGCCCUGCUUUUGUGGGGUACUCGAGUGGCGAACGGGUGAGUAACACGUGAGUAACCUGCCCUUGACUUUGGGAUAAGUUCAGGAAACUGGGGCUAAUACCGGUUAGGAGCUCCUGCUGCAUGGGGGGGGUUGGAAAGUUUCGGCGGUUGGGGAUGGUCUCGCGGCUUAUCAGCUUGUUGGUGGGGUAGUGGCUUACGAAGGCUUUGAUUGGUAGCCGGCCUGAGAGGGUGACCGGGCACAUUGGGACUGAGGUACGGCCCAGACUCCUACGGGAGGCAGCAGUGGGGAAUAUUGCACAAUGGGCGGAAGCCUGAUGCAGAAACGCCGCGUGCGGGAAGACGGGCUUCGGGUUGUAAACCGCUUUCGCAUGUGACGAAGCGUGAGUGACGGUAAUGGGUAAAGAAGCACCGGCUAACUACGUG
rnacentral:rRNA from 1 species